rnacentral:rRNA from 1 species
AGAGUUUGAUCCUGGCUCAGAUUGAACGCUGGCGGCAUGCUUUACACAUGCAAGUCGAACGGCAGCACGGGGGCAACCCUGGUGGCGAGUGGCGAACGGGUGAGUAAUGCAUCGGGACGUAUCCUUGAGUGGGGGAUAACGCAGCGAAAGUUGUGCUAAUACCGCAUAAGCUCUGAGGAGGAAAGCGGGGGACCGAAAGGCCUCGCGCUGAAGGAGCGGCCGAUGUCCGAUUAGCUAGUUGGGGGGAACGGCUCACCAAGGACGACGAUGCGUAGCCGACCUGAGAGGGUGGAUCGGCCGACACUGGG